rnacentral:rRNA from 1 species
GCAUGGAAUAAUGAAAUAGGACGUGUGGUUCUAUUUUGUUGGUUUCUAGGACCGCCGUAAUGAUUAAUAGGGACAGUCGGGGGCAUCAGUAUUCAAUUGUCAGAGGUGAAAUUCUUGGAUUUAUUGAAGACUAACUACUGCGAAAGCAUUUGCCAAGGAUGUUUUCAUUAAUCAGGAACGAAAGUUAGGGGAUCGAAGACGAUCAGAUACCGUCGUAGUCUUAACCAUAAACUAUGCCGACUAGGGAUCGGACGGUGUUAUUUUUUGACCCGUUCGGCACCUUACGAGAAAUCAAAGUGCUUGGGCUCCAGGGGGAGUAUGGUCGCAAGGCUGAAACUUAAAGAAAUCGACGGAAGGGCACCACCAGGGGUGGAGCCUGCGGCUUAAUUUGACUCAACACGGGGAAACUCACCAGGUCCAGACACAAUGAGGAUUGACAGAUUGAGAGCUCUUUCUUGAUUUUGUGGGUGGUGGUGCAUGGCCGUUCUUAGUUGGUGGAGUGAUUUGUCUGCUUAAUUGCGAUAACGAACGAGACCUUAACCUGCUAAAUAGCCCGUAUUGCUUUGGCAGUACGCUGGCUUCUUAGAGGGACUAUCGGCUCAAGCCGAUGGAAGUUUGAGGCAAUAACAGGUCUGUGAUGCCCUUAGAUGUUCUGGGCCGCACGCGCGCUACACUGACGGAGCCAGCGAGUACUUCCUUGUCCGAAAGGUCCGGGUAAUCUUGUUAAACUCCGUCGUGCUGGGGAUAGAGCAUUGCAAU